rnacentral:lncRNA from 1 species
AAAAAUAUAAAUUGAACUAAAUUUAAUAAUAGCUCAAAUUUCUAACCUAAUUAAAAUAUGAGUGUGCUAUCUAUACACCCAUUUUUAAUUUUUACACACCUCUUAUUAUUUUAUGUUCUUUGUUCUUUUUAAUUCAUCUUAUUCGACGGUCAGAAAGUAAAAAAUUAUGUAAAAAGUAAAAAAAAUGUGUGAAUAUCAUCUCCUAUUAAAAUAUCUAAUAAAAAAUAUGUUUUUUUUAUUGACAAAACUGGUACUUGGUAAUAUUGACCUGAUGACUUUCGCAUCGUAGAAGUGUCACAGAAAAUGACAUUUUUUAUCAAUGGAAAAGUAUCUAUAAAAAAAUGUCAUAAGAAAUGUAACUUAAAAAGUAGGGGUGUGAUAUCCACACAUCCCAUUUCACU